AUGAACCACAGCAGAAACGUUGAUACGGCGGUAUGGAGCCAGGAUGCUCUGAUGUCUACCAACGUGAGCCUUACAAAUGACAGCAAGCGAAAGAAAAAGAAGAGAACGCACAAAACAAAAGAUAAAAAGAAGAGUGGUUCGACGAGAAGAGGACCGAGCUCGCCUUCAAACUCCGAUGAUGCAGCAGCAGAUAAACUCACCCACACUGAGCAGCAACAGGUCGUCAAAGGCUCCUCCACACAGUCCAAACCCACCCUGAAGGGCUCCAACAGCAAAAAGACCAAGGCCAGAAGUCUGACCAGCCUCCGCAACAAUAAAUCCCAGCGAGAGGCAAUGAAACACGAGGAAACGUUGACAGGGCCAGACGCUGGUACCCACCAAGCCCCACUGUCAUGGGACCAGGCUGGCCAGAACGACCCAGCCAGGGAGAGCCUGAGGUGGGAUGGAGUUCUGGAGGAUCCGGUGGCCGAGGCAGAGAGGAUAGAGGUGUACAAGGCCAACCGGAGGAAACGGUACCUGGCCUCACAGCAGGGGGUGAUGGACUACUUGGGCUUGUUCAAGGGACACUUGGAGAGCAGUGGUGCCAUUACACACAAUAUCUAGGUGGGGCUGUUUUCACAUUAAUAAAUCUAUAGGUUUUAUGUGCAGCACCUUCUCUAUCCUGCAGAUGGCAUAGCAGUCUCAAUCUGAGAUGGUGGAACAUUGUAAUUGCAUCUUUACUCAACUAGUGGCAAUUUAAAAAAGGCAUAUCCCUAAUUGAUAACCAAAAGAUAAAAUCCUGAUAAGACUAUUUUGAAUUUGCUUAUGGCAUUGAAGUACAUAUCAAAUAAUUGUAACACUUCUCAAAUCUGAUAUAAAACAGUUGGUCUUUAUUUCAAACAAACACUAUAAAAACAGAGCUUUAAAAGCGAAAUCAUUUUACUUCAAUAAGGCCCUUUGGGUAUCUCAAGACAGUUCAGGUCCUCUAGAUGUGUAUCCUUGUAGGACCUUGAGGGAAGUUACCUGUGUUUGGUAGCCUAAUAGUAAUCUAUUAGGCUACCAAAAGGAGUUUAUUAGCAUCAAAUAAAUGCAUAACUAAAUGAAACCUCUGGAAGCAACCAGAAGAGGAUAGGCAAAGAUUAUGGACAGUCCAUAAGGUGUUAGUAAGAACAAGACUUCACUAUUAGGAAAAUACAAAAACUUUAUAACUGAAAACAAUAAUGACACAUUUGAUAAUCUCUCACUACUCAUUACCAACUAACACAAACUUCUUCAAUUCACAAUGGUCUGUGGGAAGAAAAAUGUCCCAACUUUCAACACAGAACUUGCAACUCUUUUACACAAUAUGAAAAAAGCUGUGGCUUUCUGCUCCAUGACCAUACUUACAGUAGACAAUGUUGGUUUAGGCAAGACUUAGAUGGGGUUUGGUGUUACACCAGGAUCAUACAUCUCUAUACAUGGCUCGGUGUUACACUAUCCAGGAAUAUAUAUUCUGCUUGUGGUAAGUAAUGUUGUGCAACAAAUACACCAUAAUACCAUGAUUUGACAAGACAUUUUGAAGCCCAGUCAUAGACAGUAAUUUGACAACUCCCCAGGUCUACAAAUGUAAAUACUUACAAAAAUCACAUGGAAACUCCACUAUUGCCUUAGAAUCUUAUAUUGUUGGAUCAUUGUUCAAUGAGCUCCACUGCAAUGGUUAGGCCUAAACACAGAAUGUUGACAGUGAUGGUCCAGACUACACUUCCCUAACAAUCCUUCACUUCCAAAUCUGGUUUAUAAGUUCCUCCAUGGUGAUAGUAUACAGUACACCAUCACCUGUCUAAGUCCACAGUUCAACACUUGGUUAAAAUGAAUCCAACUUUGAAUACCAGAGAACUCUUUACUAGCUACUAAUGGAUCAACACUUUGGUAGAUGGCAGCCUCACUCAGAUGUCCCUGCUAUUUGUUUGAUACUCCAGAUCUAGAGAUAUGGCUUCCAUCUUCUGCCCUCCUGGAGCCUGGAAAGUAUCGUAGCCCACAUUUGAGUACCAAUCUAAACUAAUGGACUGUGUAACCUGGGUCCAUGUGUGGCGUCGGCCUGGUGGAUGGUUGGGCCCCACAGGGCCCAGGGACCUCUCCCUCAGGCCG
rnacentral:lncRNA from 1 species